GCACGUUAGGACGCCGUCUGAGACCUUCAUGACCAGGUCAAUUGCAUGCAUCCUUUUUUUUCUUACUUAUGUAGCACCAUUGAAUUCGUCAUCGUUGAAGAUGGCACCGGGGUAUUUGGGGUUAUCAGAAUUGUAGCUUGGAGCAAAGUUUGUUUUGUGAGGGAAGCACAAGACCAAAAAGUUCUAUCCAUCAUUUUAACUACUGAGGACAAUCAGAUUUUGAAUCAAAAAUUGUGUUCAAACUGGUGAUAUACGUGAUGUGGCCAACAGAUUUUUAAGGAAAAGUCUAUUGCGACCAAUUUUUAAUUGUACUUGUAAGGUUGAGGUACCCAACUGAUGCUGUUUUGUCCUAUUCUGGUGCCAGUUGUUAUUUCUGUGUCCAAGCCAUUUUGAAGCCUUAGCAAUGUUGAUGAAAACAUAAAGUCGUUGUCAGUUUGCAUCAGUAAUACGAGUACCUGGUACUCAACUCCAACAUCAACCCUUGUCUACUAUAUUGCCUCAAACCGAUGUAGGGAAUUCACAUUGAGUUUUUGUUAGCAUGUCUUAUCAAGUCGACAACAUUCACUCUUCUUUUAUCACUGAUGCAUGCUUGUUGGGGGAAAAAGUCAAUCUAUUUUCAUCUCUCAAGAUUCUCAGAUGUUGGAUUUCAAGAUCCUUUAUUAUGAUGUCAUGUCAUCAUUCUAAAGAUGGCUGCAACCGUUGAUAAUCUGCUUCUGGAUUUUUAAAUCAAGGUUAAGAGACAUGUCAUGUCUGAAGAAUGAAAAUGUGAGGAUAACAGGAAGAACCAGUAGUGAGGCAAGAUAGAAACAUUUUGUCAACAAGCCUUAGUGGGAAAUCCAUUUUGAAAAGUUUAAGAAAACCCUGAGAAUUAAACUUGACAAAAGCCAUUUUUGUUGGCACUAACUAAUAGAAGAAAUCUAGUGUGGAGUCUAUUGGAGAUGGUUUUCUCCAACACUCAUCAAUUAACAGUAGAUUUUUUAACACUCAAACUUUGGUUGGCAAGUGGUCUAUUUUUAGCUAUUCAUACCCUAUACCCAAACUGCUAUUUAAACCACUGGCUUUGGUUUUACAGAAACUGUUUGAACAGACUUUUCAACUAAUUGCAUGAAAUUGAGUUGAUAUUUCCAAUUUAGCACAACAUCAAUUGUUUAGGGUUCAUUUUGAGUAUUUAGACUAGAGCCACAAGUCUGCUAGAGCUCUGGUGAGUGGUCUAUAAUGUAUUAAUGUUACCAUUCUAUUGUCGACUUUUCCAUGUGGGUUAAUGUCUUAAAACAUAAAACAAGAUGUUUAAGAACUGCUAUACCUUGCAAAACAGGUGUGCUUAUUUAUUACAGUAUUCCAAAAGUAAGCAUCUAAUUUAUUGCUGCUAUGAAGGUGACUGCAGGUUUCUAAAGUAAAGCUUUUGUGUAAUAGCUGAAUUUUGUGAAAAACUUUAUGUUUUAUGUUGGAAAUUGUUUUAGAGUAACGAAAUGCUUGCAAGUUCGUUUUUUGGUUGCUCAUGUUUUUACCAUUUUAACGGUUUUUCCAUCAUUCCUCUCUAAUA